rnacentral:rRNA from 1 species
UGGGGAAUAUUGCGCAAUGGGCGAAAGCCUGACGCAGCGACGCCGCGUGAGGGAUGACGGCCUUCGGGUUGUAAACCUCUUUCGGCAGGGAUGAAGCCUUCGGGUGACAGUACCUGCAAAAGAAGCACCGGCUAACUACGUGCCAGCAGCCGCGGUGAUACGUAGGGUGCAAGCGUUGUCCGGAAUUAUUGGGCGUAAAGAGCUCGUAGGCGGUCCGUCACGUCGGGCGUGAAAACCCAGGGCUCAACCCUGGGCCUGCGUUCGAUACGGGCGGACUAGAGUUCGGUAGGGGAGACUGGAAUUCCUGGUGUAGCGGUGAAAUGCGCAGAUAUCAGGAGGAACACCGGUGGCGAAGGCGGGUCUCUGGGCCGAUACUGACGCUGAGGAGCGAAAGCGUGGGGAGCAAACAG